UACAGAGGUCUCAAGCGUUGUUCGGAUUCAUUGGGCGUAAAGGGUGCGUAGGUGGCGCUGUAAGUCGGGUGUGAAAUUUCGGAGCUUAACUCCGAAACUGCAUUCGAUACUGGCGUGCUUGAGGACUGGAGAGGAGACUGGAAUUCAUGGUGUAGCAGUGAAAUGCGUAGAGAUCAUGAGGAAGACCAGUGGCGAAGGCGGGUCUCUGGACAGUUCCUGACACUGAGACACGAAGGCCAGGGGGAGCAAACGGG
rnacentral:rRNA from 1 species